CCUACGGGCGGCAGCAGUGGGGAAUAUUGCGCAAUGGGGGAAACCCUGACGCAGCGACGCCGCGUGAGCGAAGAAGGCCUUAGGGUCGUAAAGCUCUGUUUUAAGGGACGAAUAUCCUCAGUAGUAACUGACUGGGGAAUGACGGUACCUUAAGAGAAAGCCCCGGCUAACUACGUGCCAGCAGCCGCGGUAAGACGUAGGGGGCGAGCGUUGUCCGGAAUUACUGGGCGUAAAGAGCACGUAGGCGGGAUUUUAAGUCAGGUGUGAAAGACCGUGGCUCAACCACGGGGUUGCACAUGAAACUGGAAUUCUUGAGGGCAGGAGAGGAAAGUGGAAUUCCUGGUGUAGCGGUGAAAUGCGUAGAAAUCAGGAGGAACACCGGUGGCGAAGGCGACUUUCUGGACUGACCCUGACGCUGAGGUGCGAAAGCGUGGGUAGCAAACAGGAUUAGAUACCCCGGUAGUC
rnacentral:rRNA from 1 species